rnacentral:rRNA from 1 species
AUUGAACGCUGGCGGCAUGCUUUACACAUGCAAGUCGAACGGUAACAGGCCGCAAGGUGCUGACGAGUGGCGAACGGGUGAGUAAUGCAUCGGAACGUGCCCAGUCGUGGGGGAUAACGCAGCGAAAGCUGCGCUAAUACCGCAUACGAUCUAUGGAGGAAAGCGGGGGACCGUAAGGCCUCGCGCGAUUGGAGCGGACGAUGUCAGAUUAGGUAGUUGGUGGGGUAAAGGCUCACCAAGCCAACGAUCUGUAGCUGGUCUGAGAGGACGACCAGCCACACUGGGACUGAGACACGGCCCAGACUCCUACGGGAGGCAGCAGUGGGGAAUUUUGGACAAUGGGCGCAAGCCUGAUCCAGCAAUGCCGCGUGCAGGAAGAAGGCCUUCGGGUUGUAAACUGCUUUUGUACGGAACGAAACGGUCCUGGUUAAUACCUGGGGCUAAUGACGGUACCGUAAGAAUAAGCACCGGCUAACUACGUGCCAGCCGCCGCCGUAAGAC